UACGAAGGGGGCCGCGUGUCUCGGAAUCACUGGGCGUAAAGGGUGUGUAGGCGGUUGUUUAAGUUUGGUGUGAAAUCUCCCGGCUCAACUGGGAGGGUGCGCCGAAUACUGAAUGACUUCGAGUGCGGGAGAGGAAAGUGGAAUUCCUGGUGUAGCGGUGAAAUGCGUAGAUAUCAGGAGGAACACCGGUGGUGUAGACGGCUUUCUGGACCGUAACUGACGCUGAGACACGAAAGCGUGGGUAGCGAACAGG
rnacentral:rRNA from 1 species